UGCUUUCAGAUUUCUGAGAAAGGCGGUUUUGUUAAUGUCUCAUUUAGUAGUUUCUUUGCUCUGUCCACAGUGAGAACAAACCAAGGAAUGGAGGAAUCUGUGUGUUCAAUCACAACUGCAAUUGACAUCAUCAUCCUGGCCAAUGACGGCUGCUUUUCUAUGGUUGGCCAGAUACAUGGUGGUCUGCCUGCCUGGGGUUGUCCAGGAGCCAUGGUGAAAUCCAGCCCCCACGUUUGGUUUGAGAUAUCUGAAGUCAAAGACUGACACCUUGUGGCCAAAAGGUUGAGCAACCAUGUUGCAGACAACUCAACACCCCAUCCUCAUCUUCCCAGAGGUUUAGUAUGGAAACGUUUCUGAUGGAUUGAGUGCUGCUCAAAUAGAGAUGAGCUAAGGCACCUAAUGAAGGCUGUACUAUAAAUUAAAUUAAAUCAAAUAGAAUUAGUCAUGUGCCGAA